rnacentral:rRNA from 1 species
GACGAACGCUGGCGGCGUGCUUAACACAUGCAAGUCGAACGGAAAGGCUCCAGCUUGCUGGAGUACUCGAGUGGCGAACGGGUGAGUAACACGUGGGUAAUCUGCCCUGCACUCUGGGAUAAGCCUGGGAAACUGGGUCUAAUACCGGAUAUGACUCUUCUCCUCUGGGGUUUGGUGGAAAGUCUUGCGGUGUAGGAUGAGCCCGCGGCCUAUCAGCUUGGUGGUGGGGUGAUGGCCUACCAAGGCGACGACGGGUAGCCGGCCUGAGAGGGUGAUCGGCCACAUUGGGACUGAGAUACGGCCCAGACUCCUACGGGAGGCAGCAGUGGGGAAUAUUGCACAAUGGGCGGAAGCCUGAUGCAGCGACGCCGCGUGAGGGAUGACGGCCUUCGGGUUGUAAACCUCUUUCAGCAGGGACGAAGCGUAAGUGACGGUACCUGCAGAAGAAGCACCGGCUAACUACGUGCCAGCCGCCGCCGUAA